UGGAGCACAGCGUUGAGGAUAGAAGAAAGUCAAAGCACUCCUACUGUUGCAGGAAUUACAGUUGGGGUUAUAUUCCUUUUGGUUGUAUUAGCCAUUUGCAUCUUCGUCAUAUAUAAGUGGUUUAAAAAGAAAAGUGAAGGUGGUGAA